AACGCACGAGACCUGCGGACCUGCGGAGGGAUCAUUAAUGAGAAGCUGCCCCUCGUGGGUAGACCUCCCACCCUCUGUGAACUUACCUUUGUUGCUUUGGCGGGCCCGUCCUCUGGACCGCCGGCUUCGGCUGGCCCGUGCCUGCCAGAGGAUUCCAAACCCUGUCUGUCAGUGUUGUCUGAGUCUAUAUGAAAUCGUUAAAACUUUCAGCAACGGAUCUCUAGAUCGGAAGAGCACACG
rnacentral:misc_RNA from 1 species